CGGGUUAUGUAUGCAGUCGUGCGGAGUACCCUUCGGGGUACUCGAGCGGCGAACGGGUGAGUAACACGUGAGCAACCUGCCCUAGGCUUUGGGAUAACCCUCGGAAACGGGGGCUAAUACCGAAUAUUCACUCACGGGCGCAUGUUUGUGGGUGGAAAGUUUUUCGGCUUGGGAUGGGCUCGCGGCCUAUCAGCUUGUUGGUGGGGUAAUGGCCUACCAAGGCGACGACGGGUAGCCGGCCUGAGAGGGCGACCGGCCACACUGGGACUGAGACACGGCCCAGACUCCUACGGGAGGCAGCAGUGGGGAAUAUUGCACAAUGGGCGGAAGCCUGAUGCAGCGACGCCGCGUGAGGGAUGACGGCCUUCGGGUUGUAAACCUCUUUCAGCAGGGACGAAGCGCAAGUGACGGUACCUGCAGAAGAAGCGCCGGCCAACUACGUGCCAGCAGCCGCGGUAAGACGUAGGGCGCGAGCGUUGUCCGGAUUUAUUGGGCGUAAAGAGCUCGUAGGCGGCUUGUCGCGUCGACUGUGAAAACCCGUGGCUCAACUGCGGGCCUGCAGUCGAUACGGGCAGGCUAGAGUUCGGUAGGGGAGACUGGAAUUCCUGGUGUAGCGGUGAAAUGCGCAGAUAUCAGGAGGAACACCGGUGGCGAAGGCGGGUCUCUGGGCCGAUACUGACGCUGAGGAGCGAAAGCGUGGGGAGCGAACAGGAUUAGAUACCCUGGUAGUCCACGCUGUAAACGUUGGGCGCUAGGUGUGGGGGGCCUCUCCGGUUCUCUGUGCCGCAUCUAACGCAUUAAGCGCCCGCCUGGGGAGUACGGCCGCAAGGCUAAAACUCAGAGGAAUUGACGGUGGCCCGCACAAUCUGCCGGAGCAUGCGGAUUAAUUCGCUGCAACGCGUAUUAUCUUUACCUGAGCUUGACAUCGCCGGAGAUCCUUGCACAUAUC
rnacentral:rRNA from 1 species